UGGAUGAAGCAUAAAGUUCAGCCUGCCAACACGCAGGGUUUCAAAAAACCUCUUGUCCAAGCACUGUUAAAUACGGCUAAAUUACAUACAUUCGCGCGAGAUUCGAUGUCUAAUGUGCUUGCGUGAAUCUGGGAAAUUAUCAUCUUCAGACUUCAGGGAAACCAAAAUAUACAAAGGUUCAAACAUCGUAACAACUAACUAAUUACCAACACGCAACAGCUCCUAGACAGCACCGGUGUGGCAAUGUGACGAAUACUACAUUUCAUCGGUCUCCAUGGCACACCGCUAUUCCAGAUGAUACCAGCGCCGUACGCCAUCCAGAUUUGGGCAAAUGGAUCGAGCGCCGCCACAGCAUUGUAAUGGCUGUCUGAGCAGCAUGAGCAUGUUGGCUGCUCCGGCCAGCUUAGGCCUGUAUGGACUGUGGGUCAAUAUAGCACCUACUCUAACGUAAGAGGCGAGGAAUGGAUCGAUAAUGGCAAGUGUAUGCUGGCUGUACUGCACGGGAAUGGCUGUAGCCAGUGCCUGCUGACCCGAGAUCGAUGCCGGCAACGCU